UAUAAGCAUGAGUUUGAGCAUAUGUUGCUCAUAUGCGUUUUGUUGUUGUUUUUGGGGCUUGAACUAGUUUUUAGGCCUCUAUAUGCAUGAGUUAUGUUAUAUGGUAGUUGAGAAGUGUUGGUAUGCAUGUUCUGGGUGUUUGAUAGGAUUUUGGAGGCUGAGAGCAUGAGUUGUGCUCGGAUUCUGCCUUUCUGGAGAAUCCAGGUUCGGCCGCCGAAGCAAGGUUCGGCCGCCGAACCCCUUGUGGAGGCAGUUUCGGCUGCCAAACCUUGCCCCCGAAAGCUAGGCUUUU
rnacentral:lncRNA from 1 species